ACCCACGUCACAAGUAUCAACCAAUGACAAGCUCAGGCCUACAUCGCGCUUAUCAUAUUUUUUGUUAUGUUUCAUAUAAAUAAAAAUGGCGAUGCCUAGGUUGCUGGAUGUUGACGAUCGGACAUCCCAACACGUAAAUCAUGCUUUGGUCUGGCCAACCAAAGAAUGUUGUGUUGAUCUAGAACUAGAGGGGACUCUGUACCUACGCGGUCGAUAGGUAUGGAUAACCACACCCGGAGGGGUUUCACUCAAGCACGUAAAACGCGACCUUACGCCGGGGUUCGGGGUUCAGCACCUUGGAGGUUCAUUCAUGUUCUGUGACGCUGACGAGCUGAUCAGUCAUGUUGUGUCAAACGCCAUAGUCAA